CCCACCCGCUCCACCUGAAGGCUGAAAUCACCGAGCACGGUCAUCUCUCUGAACCACUUCUCCCUGGCCUGGCUUCCUCCAUAACCAGGCAAGGUUGCCCGCCCUUCCGCUUCCUCCUAGUUCUGACCCCGGUGACCUCCAUUGGAGACCGCCCCCAUUCGUCGAUUUCGCACCCUAGCUGCCCUCGUCCCCGGCCAGCUACCGCCCAGAUCUCUGGAUCAUGGAGUCCCUCCGCCCGCCUCAUCUCCCUCCACCGCCGCCGGUUAGCCCCGCUCCUUCCAUGGCGUGGCCGCCUAGCCCACUCCGUCCGCAGCUCGGUGGCCCUGCCCCAUUUCCUCCAUAUCGCUGCUCCCGUGCGUCCCCGAUUUUUCUCUCUCUGUCCCGAUUUUUUCCCCAAAUCCCACACCCUCCUGAGCUCCUCUAGAUCUCGCCGGCCACCGACGUCCCCGUUCCCUCGCGCGCGCACCGCCCGGGUCACUUCCAUGCGCACAGACCGUCGGGCAGCCCCUCACGCAGGUCUUCUCCCUGUGGAAAACUCCUGCUCCCUGCGCCGGCCUUCGUUGUCCAUAUUUCUUCUCUCUCUUGCUCCCUGCGCCGUCCUUCGUCGUCCACCUAGGAUGCUCAGAUAUGUCUCAACGACAACCGUGUUGCAAGAUCGGGAUCUGAAGCACCGGGUUGGAAAUUUCAAGAUCUAGAUCUGUUUCAGCCAAAAAAUCUCUUUCUCUGUCUCUUGGAUAAGUCCUCUCUCCUGAUUUUGUUUCAGUUUGUUGUAGCAACAAGAACGAUUUCGUCCAUGUGGAUGUCAUUUGGUUAUUCCUUGAUCUAUUUUUUAUCCAAGUCUUGAGAUUAGAUAUGUCUGUACCGUCCAGGGGAAGAUAAAUUUCUUAGAUUUUUGGUACAGUUUUUCUGAACUAGCACCCGUUCUUCUGUUAGCAGGUUAAUGGAUUUGAGGAGUCUGCUUCUGUACAAAGAUGAGGGCGCUGUCCGUCGGGGCGCAAUGGAUGAGCAUCUGUUCCGUCACCCAUGGUGCUUGACGCGGGGAAGGGCGAGAGGAUGGCGGAACGGCGGGGAUGGCUUUGGUGCGCGAGGCAGCAGACUAGGGACAAGAGCUCACGUUAAGGCUGCUAUUGAUUUUCGAUUUGAUUUUUGGAGUGAUCUAGAUGAACAUGUUUGCUGUAGUUCGGAUCUUUAUUUCUCUGUCCUCUUCCUGGAUUUUCCUCUCUCUCUCUCUCUCUAGCUCAUUAAUUCUUGUAAUGGGAGCGCUGGUUUCUUGGAUUACUAACGAACUUCUCAUCUGUUUCUAUUUUAGACAAAAUUAGUGUUCAUCUGGAUGACUUGCACGGUUGUUUUGGUGGAUGGCCUUGUCUGUUCUCAGCCCCAUGUGGUUCUCGCGUUCAUAGUGCAGCCCGUACCAAGGAGCACGAUGGCUCUACGACCUGCUCAGGCAAACCUCGUCUGGUUUGGUGGCCAGCAGCCGCGUGGAGGGAUUUUUUUCCUGAUCUAGAUUAGCGGAUUUCUUUUUGUUACUUUUUCUUGUCCUGGAUUAGAGCGAGGUCGCCUAUGUUCCCAAUCCAGAUUCCAUGUUGAUUUCCCUGUUCUCCCAAUCUAGAUCGAAAGUUUGUCGUGCGGGUCUUGAUUUUUAUGUGUUCCCAAUCCAUAUUCCAUUGUAAUUGAAACAAACAGUGUGAAUUUUGAUCAGGAUUUGCAUCACCACUGCGAUGUUGAUUUUGUUUUGGUUUAUCUUCUAGGUUGCUGGUAAAACACAUAAAAUAUGUUUGGCACCAUUUUUUGUUACAGGGCAUCAAUUAUUUUUUGGCAUUGGUUAAGUCAAACUUGCUGGAGACUAUGAGCAACAAUUGUAAAUAUCGCGGUGUAUAAAAUUAAAAAAAAUAUUUAUAAUCCCUGUGCAUGACACCCAUGGCCGUAAUGUUCUCAAUUCUAGGGAGAGUAGUGUUGUAAAUAUCGCGGUGUAUAAAAUUAGUGUUGUUAACCAUAUAAAUCUGUCCACAACUGUUCGUGCUUUUGUUUCCUUGCGGAUCUAUGGAUGUGGAGGGACCCACAGCUAGUUUCAAAGAAAGAGUACAGAGUACUAUUUGUAUCGGAGGCUCGCGGAAGGACCGUGAAGUGUCUGUCUAUCGCCACGUUAAGAUGGGCAGAAUCCAACGAUGGAAACCGCGUGCGUAGCUAUCAUCCUGGUUAGAAAAUCCGCGUCGAUAUAUAUAUAUAUAUAUAUAUUGUUCUAACUAUCUUGUUGUGUACGCUAUUAUGCAGAAUGAAGAAGCGGGAAAUGCGAAUAAGGAACAUCCAUGAUGUUGGGUUCAUUGACCCACAAAUCGUUAAUUCAUAUGUGUUAGAACACCACCCCGCCGACGUGGAGGAUGACCUGUGGCGGUUUAUUAGAAAACAGAAACUCAAAAGUGAUAUUCUAUUUCCUUACCAUUUUGGGUUCCACUGGAUUCUUAUGGUAAUUCAAUUUCAAACCUCCUCAGUUCUCGUCCACGACUCUCUGAAUAUGGAUCCGGCGCUUUGGGCCGACAUGAGAAAAAUGAUGCAAAAGGUUUGGAGACGGUUCGUAGAUACCAAGGUCGGUGAAUUCAAAAAAGAGCUACAUUUUAAAAUGGCAGUGCGGACGAUUGGGGAUAUUCAGCCACCGGGGACCAAUCUAUGUGGAUACUAUGUUUGUGAGAGGAUCCGGAGAUACUGCAAU